CAAGAGAAAAGCCGUCGUUAUACUAAAGUUUGUUUAAUACUUUUAAGUGAAAAGGAUUAAUAUUCUAAAGGGACGAUAAGACCCUAUAAAACUCUACAAACAUUGUAAAUAUAUUAUUUAAUUUUGUCUACUCAGAUUUAAAUUUAAUUUUUUGUUAUGUUGGGGAGACAAAAGCUAUAAUUUAUAUUAACUGCUUGAAGAAAAAUCAAUAAAAUUUAGUGACCUAUAUUUAUAGAUCCUCUAUAACGAUUGAAAGAUUAAGUUACUCUAGGGAUAACAGCGUCAUUUCUCUUGAGAGUACAUAU
rnacentral:rRNA from 1 species